UUACAACUAAAUCCAGCAGACCAUCACUCUGUCAGACACACAUGAUGGAAAGAAGAUCAGCUGCUCUGCCAGAUAUCCUGUGAACCAAGGAAAACAACAAGGCAGCAGAGACAGAAGAGACUCUCAGUGUUUCAUAUGCUCCCAAAAACACCUCAGCAUCCAUCAGUCCAUCAGGUUUGGUGUCAGCAGGCAGCUGGGUGAAGCUGACCUGCUCCAGCAGAGCCAAACCUCCAGUCAGCAGCUUCACCUGGUUCAAGAAGAGCAGAGAUGGAGCUGUGAACGUAUCUGAAGGAGAGAUUUACAGCUUCAAUGUAACAGAUGGAGGAGUUUAUUACUGUGUGGCCACUAAUGAUGUG